rnacentral:rRNA from 1 species
UACGAAGGGGGCUAGCGUUGCUCGGAAUCACUGGGCGUAAAGGGCGCGUAGGCGGAUUCUUAAGUCGGGUGUGAAAGUCCCGGGCUCAACCUGGGAAUUGCAUUCGAGACUGCAUUGCUGGAGUACGGAAGAGGAGGGCGGAAUUCCCGGUGUAGCGGUGAAAUGCGUAGAUAUCGGGAGGAACAUCAGUGGCGAAGGCGGCCCUCUGGUCCAGUACUGACACUCAAGUGCGAAAGCGUGGGGAGCAAACAGG